UCCAACAUUAUAUCUGUAAACCUAUCCAGGCACUCCAGUACCCCAACCUUAAUGUCAACAACCUCCACUCCCAACACAACAACAUCAACAACCUCCACUCCCACCACAACAACAUCAACAACCUCCACUCCCACCACGGCAACCUCCACUCCCACCACAACAACAUCAACAACCUCCACUCCCACCACGGCAAUCUCCACUCCCAACACAACAACAUCAAGAACCUACACUCCCACCACAGCAACAUCAAGAACCUACACUCCCACCACAACAACAUCAACAACCUACACUCCCACCACAACAACAUCAAGAACGACUGCCUCAUCGACCUACACUUCCACCACAACAUCAAGAACAACUGCCUCAACUCUCAGAUGUGACAACAUUUUUUCAGUCACAUGCUACAAGAUAGAGAUCUCCCCAGGGGCCCUGGUGUUGGUCACACUGCUUGUCUUUAUUUGGGGGAUGCUGUGUAAACCAUGUUGCUGUAAGAAGAAGCGCAGUGUCCCAUCUGCUGAAAACAUGGUUUUUAUGCAGAUGCAAGAGAACUAGAUACAGAGUCUGCAGAAUCUCUCUUACCUGUAUGUCAUAUGCACAUCUGCAGAAUCUCUCUUACCUGUACAGUAUGUCAUAUGCACAUCUGCAGAAUCUCUCUUACCUGUACAGUAUGUCAUAUGCACAUCUGCAGAAUCUCUCUUACCUGUAUGUCAUAUGCACAUCUGCAGAAUCUCUCUAACCUGUACAGUAUGUCAUAUGCACAUCUGCAGAAUCUCUCUUACCUGUACAGUAUGUCAUAUGCACAUCUGCAGAAUCUCUCUUACCUGUACAGUAUGUCAUAUGCACAUCUGCAGAAUCUCUCUUACCUGUAUGUCAUAUGCACAUCUGCAGAAUCUCUCUAACCUGUACAGUAUGUCAUAUGCACAUCUGCAGAAUCUCUCUUACCUGUACAGUAUGUCAUAUGCACAUCUGCAGAAUACAUUAUGCUACUGGAAUUAUUCUUUUUAAAACCAAAAUAAAACUUUUCUUCUGUUUGCA
rnacentral:lncRNA from 1 species